UGAACGCUGGCGGCAUGCCUUACACAUGCAAGUCGAACGGCAGCACGGGUGCUUGCACCUGGUGGCGAGUGGCGAACGGGUGAGUAAUACAUCGGAACAUGUCCUGUAGUGGGGGAUAGCCCGGCGAAAGCCGGAUUAAUACCGCAUACGAUCUACGGAUGAAAGCGGGGGACCUUCGGGCCUCGCGCUAUAGGGUUGGCCGAUGGCUGAUUAGCUAGUUGGUGGGGUAAAGGCCUACCAAGGCGACGAUCAGUAGCUGGUCUGAGAGGACGACCAGCCACACUGGGACUGAGACACGGCCCAGACUCCUACGGGAGGCAGCAGUGGGGAAUUUUGGACAAUGGGCGAAAGCCUGAUCCAGCAAUGCCGCGUGUGUGAAGAAGGCCUUCGGGUUGUAAAGCACUUUUGUCCGGAAAGAAAUCCUUGGCUCUAAUACAGUCGGGGGAUGACGGUACCGGAAGAAUAAGCACCGGCUAACUACGUGCCAGCAGCCGCGGUAAUACGUAGGGUGCGAGCGUUAAUCGGAAUUACUGGGCGUAAAGCGUGCGCAGGCGGUUUGCUAAGACCGAUGUGAAAUCCCCGGGCUCAACCUGGGAACUGCAUUGGUGACUGGCAGGCUAGAGUAUGGCAGAGGGGGGUAGAAUUCCACGUGUAGCAGUGAAAUGCGUAGAGAUGUGGAGGAAUACCGAUGGCGAAGGCAGCCCCCUGGGCCAAUACUGACGCUCAUGCACGAAAGCGUGGGGGAGCAAACAGGAUUAGAUACCCUGGUAGUCCACGCCCUAAACGAUGUCAACUAGUUGUUGGGGAUUCAUUUCCUUAGUAACGUAGCUAACGCGUGAAGUUGACCGCCUGGGGAGUACGGUCGCAAGAUUAAAACUCAAAGGAAUUGACGGGGACCCGCACAAGCGGUGGAUGAUGUGGAUUAAUUCGAUGCAACGCGAAAAACCUUACCUACCCUUGACAUGGUCGGAAUCCUGCUGAGAGGUGGGAGUGCCCGAAAGAGAACCGGCGCACAGGUGCUGCAUGGCUGUCGUCAGCUCGUGUCGUGAGAUGUUGGGUUAAGUCCCGCAACGAGCGCAACCCUUGUCCUUAGUUGCUACGCAAGAGCACUCUAAGGAGACUGCCGGUGACAAACCGGAGGAAGGUGGGGAUGACGUCAAGUCCUCAUGGCCCUUAUGGGUAGGGCUUCACACGUCAUACAAUGGUCGGAACAGAGGGUUGCCAACCCGCGAGGGGGAGCUAAUCCCAGAAAACCGAUCGUAGUCCGGAUUGCACUCUGCAACUCGAGUGCAUGAAGCUGGAAUCGCUAGUAAUCGCGGAUCAGCAUGCCGCGGUGAAUACGUUCCCGGGUCUUGUACUCACCGCC
rnacentral:rRNA from 1 species